rnacentral:misc_RNA from 1 species
AACGCACAUUGCGCCCGCCAGUAUUCUGGCGGGCAUGCCUGUUCGAGCGUCAUUUCAACCAUCAAGCCCCCGGGCUUGUGUUGGGGACCUGCGGCUGCCGCAGGCCCUGAAAAGCAGUGGCGGGCUCGCUGUCACACCGAGCGUAGUAGCAUACAUCUCGCUCUGGGCGUGCUGCGGGUUCCGGCCGUUAAACCACCUUUUAACCCAAGGUUGACCUCGGAUCAGGUAGGAAGACCCGCUGAACUUAA